rnacentral:rRNA from 1 species
UUUAUAAAAAUUUUUUUAUGAUUAGUUUUAAAAAAUUAUAAUUAUUUAUAGUAAAUUAGUAUUGAGAAAUAAUUUUAGUUUUAUUUUUAAAGAAAAUUUUAUUAAUUGUAUCUUGUGUAUCAGAGUUUAUUAAAUUUAAUUUAUUAAUAUAAAAAUUUCGAAAUUUUUUGAUCUAUAAGUAUUUAUAAAUUAAUAUUAUAUAAUUAUUAUAAAAAUAUUUGUGGAAGUUAGAAGUUAUUCGAAAAAAAUAAUAUCUUAUUAUUUUAGAAAUUAAUUUAAUUAAUUUAUAAAAAUUAUUAAAUUUAAAAAAAUUUUUAAUUUUAAUUUUUUAUAAAAAAAUUUUUAGGGACAAGCUUAAAUAUAAAAUUAUAAAUUAAAAUAAAUAUGUAAAAUUGUAAAAUUAAUAUUUUUAUCAAUUAUAGGUUAUUAUAAAUAUUUUACAAAAUAUAAAAAUUUAUUUAAUUUUAAUUUUAAAAUAAAAUUAUUUUUUUUAAUAAUAUAUUAGAAAGAAAUAAUGAUAAAAUUAGUAUAUUAUAUAAUUAAUUAAUUAAUAUUUAUAAAAAAUUAUUUUAAGAAUUCGACAAAAUUUUAUUCAUCUGUUUAUUAAAAACAUAUUUAAUUGAAUUGAAUAAUUAAUGUAUUCUGCCCAUUGAUAUAUUAAAAGGCUGCAGUAUUUUGACUGUACAAAGGUAGCAUAAUCAUUUGUUUUUUAAUUGAAAACUUGAAUGAAGGGAUUAAUGAAAUAAGAGUUUUUUUAUAUAAUUUAUUGGAAUUUUUUGUUUAAGUGAAAAAACUUAAAUUAUUUUAAAAGACGAAAAGACCCUAUAAAACUUAAUUCUUAUAAUUUAUAAAAAAUUUAUAUGAAUUUGAUUGGGGAAAUUUAUAAAAUUAUAAAAUUUUAUUGAUUAAUUAAUUAAAAUUAUAAUUAUUAUUAAGGAUCUUAAAUUUUAGGAUAAAAGAUAAGUUACUUUAGGGAUAACAGCUUAAUUUUUUUUAAAAGUUCUUAUAUAAAAAAAAGUUUGCGACCUCGA